GUUUCCGUAGUGUAGUGGUUAUCACAUUCGCCUUACACGCGAAAGGUCCUCGGGUCAAAACCGAGCGGAAACA
rnacentral:tRNA from 1 species